rnacentral:rRNA from 1 species
UACGUAGGGUGCGAGCGUUGUCCGGAAUUAUUGGGCGUAAAGAGCUUGUAGGCGGUUUGUCGCGUCUGCUGUGAAAAUCCGGGGCUCAACCCCGGACUUGCAGUGGGUACGGGCAGACUAGAGUGUGGUAGGGGAGACUGGAAUUCCCGGUGUAGCGGUGAAAUGCGUAGAGAUCGGGAGGAAUACCUAUGGCGAAAGCAGGCUUCUGGGCCGUCACUGACGCUGAUCUGCGAAAGCUAGGGGAGCAAACAGG